rnacentral:lncRNA from 10 species
AGACCGGAAGCGGUAUGUCUUCACUGCAAGAGGAAUUUUAUUUUGCUCCCCUCGGCGGGUGGCAGCUUGAUUGUAGUCAUCCAGUGAACUGAAAAUGCGAUUUUAAGUAUAUUUUUAUUGCCGUGAAUCAGGACCUAACCUAGUAAAACACUGGACACUGAAGCAGGGCUACAGAGGAAAUAUCUCAUAUCGAAACAGUUACAGUUGGGUUGAAAAAAUCUGCUUUUGUGGCAGGUAACCAGGGGCCCUGCCUUUUAAAUUAGUACCAGCCUGGCCAGGCGUGGUGGCUCACGCCUGUAAUCCCAGCACAUUGGGAGGCCCAGGCGGGCGGAUCACUUGAGGUCAGGAGUUCCAGACCAGCCUGGCCAAAAUGGUGAAACCCGGUCUCUAGUAAAAAUACAAAAAUUAGCUAAGCAUGGUUGCACAUGCCUGUAAUCCCAGUUACUCAGGAGGCUGAGGCACAAGAAUCGCUUGAAUCCGGGAGGCGGAGGCUGCAACAAGCCAAGAUCGCACCAGUGCACUCCACCCUGGGUGACAGAUCGAGACUCUGUCUCAAAAGUAAAUUAAAUAAAUACAUACAUAAAUAAAUAAAUAAAUACCAGCCUAGAGACCUGAGUUUUACUCUAAAUUUUGCCACUAACUAUGUGGACUUAGACUAGUCUCAGUUUUCCCAUCUGUACAGUGAGAGUUGUAGACUGGUCUCUAGGUUCUCUGUCAUAGCAGAAAAUUGUAGAAUUUUACUCUGCCAACAUUCCACUGCUAUGUUGGUUUCAACAUCCACCAAGGUAUACUUAGUUUUUCUGCAAAAUUCCUUGGUAUUUUGGAGUUCUGGGAGAAAAGCGGUAUUAUGAAGUUCCUCCGAUUUUACGAGUUGACUGAAAUAUGUUUAGGACUAUGUCCCAAUCCUUCUUGCAGAAGUUAUUUUCCAAUGUAACACUUGAGAGAGAGAGAGAGAGAACUGUUGCUAACGAUCUUAACAGCAUUGCUGUGAGUGGCACUUUUACGCUUCACAGCAACAAAUCCCAAUUCAUCCUCUAUAUGUGCUUCUUUCUCCAGCCAACUUUUCCUAAGAUAUAGUCUGCCUAUAGUUAUUUUAUUUUUCUUUUUUUCUUUUUCUUUUUUUUUUUGACAUGGCGUCUGGCCCAGUCGCCCAGGCUGGAGUGCAGUGGCACAAUUCUCGGCUCACUGCAACCUCUACCUCCAGGGUUCAAGUGAUUCUCUUGCCUCAGCCUUCCAAGUAGCUGGGAUUACAGGCGCCUGCCACUAUGCUUGGCUAAUUUUUGUAUUGUUAGUAGAGACAGGGUUUCACCAUGUUGGCCAGGCUGGUCUGGAACUCCUGACCUCAAGUGAUCCACCAGCCCAGGCCUCCCAAAGUGCUAGGAUUACAGGCAUGAGCCACCGUGCCCGGCCUGCCUAUGGUUCUUGACUGACAGUUACUCUGUCCCAAGUAGCCAUGCCAACCAGUUGGCCAGGUGUCUGCCUGAAACCAGAUACCCUUUUUCCUUCAGGAUCAUGACAGUGUGCUGGCAAAGAAGUCUGGGGAGUGGUUUCUAUGACUCCUCAAGAUACAGGCCAGUCAGAGGAGCUGCCAGAU